UUCUGUUCUUAUUGCUGUUUUUAACUCUAUUUUAUUUUUUGCUUUUCUCAAGGGCCGCACCAGCGGCACAGCACAUGGAGGUUCCCAGGCCAGGGGUCGAAUGGGCGCCACAGCCGCUGGUCUACACCACAGCUCACUGCAACGCUGGAUCCUUAGCCCACUGAGCGAGGCCAGGAAUUGAACCCACGUCCUCAAGGAUACCAGUCGGCUUCAUUUCCCCUAUGCCACAACAGGAAUUCCUAACUCCCAUUUUAAAGGAAAACGCUGCCCUCAGCUCUUGUCCAGACCGCCUGGUGCCCACUGGUGCCCCCGACAGGCAGGUUUAGGAGUGGAACUGCUGGGUCACUGGGUAAACAGAUUUGUCUUUAAGCGGUGGGGGGAGCGAGGUCAGGGCACCCCCAGCAGGCACAGCAGCCCAGAGACAGGCAGCCAGCUUCACUGUGUCCUCCACUGGCCCCGCAGCACUGUGGCUCCUGUGGGGGCUGUCAACACGAGGCUGAGAGCCACAGGCAGCUGGGAGACUCACACGGAGUUUCUGGGCGUCGGGAAGACACCCCUGGUUCCACGAGGCUGAGCCCACACUCGCGGCGCGAUAGGAGGAGUCUCGGAGCACUGCAUCUGGUUUCGGGUUUUAUUUUAGAAUGUAUAAAAUUCCAGUGUCACCCGUAUUCAUGAGCCUUUACACAUGUUUGCAUAUUAUCUCCAAAUUCCAAAGUUAAGGCCAAGGGAUGGAUCGCAGCUAUGGACACAGACGACGUGGAAGACAUUCGACAGGGAGGGAACGGACACGCACGCCGGUCCCGCCAGGGCCCUGCCCGCAGCGGCGGAGGCCGCAGGAGACAGGCCCCGGGCACAGUCAUCUCGGGAUGCUUAACGACACCCAGCGACGGUGAGCGGGACCCCAAACGGCUCAGGAAGGGGAGCCUGCGUUUAUGACAUUUAGCAAUAAGUGCACAUGUGCAAAACCUAUUGUGAGAAUUAAACAUUUCCCUUGGGCAGCGGGCAGGGCUGGAUGCUGCAGAAGAGACAGAGGGAGGAGCAGGUGUGGGCAGGCGCAGGGAAGGCUCGGGACUCGUGCACGAGGAAGAGGGC
rnacentral:lncRNA from 1 species